rnacentral:tRNA from 1 species
GCAGCGGUGGUUCGGCGGUAGAAUUGUUGCCUUCCGUGCAGGAGACCUGGGUUCCAUUCCCAACCAAUGCA